rnacentral:rRNA from 1 species
GACGAACGCUGGCGGCGUGCUUAACACAUGCAAGUCGAACGAAAAGAGGGAAAGAGCUUGCUCUUUCCGGAAUUGAGUGGCAAACGGGUGAGUAACACGUAAACAACCUGCCUUCAGGAUGGGGACAACAGACGGAAACGACUGCUAAUACCGAAUAAGUUCCAAGAGCCGCAUGGCCCAUGGAAGAAAAGGUGGCCUCUACCUGUAAGCUAUCGCCUGAAGAGGGGUUUGCGUCUGAUUAGCUGGUUGGAGGGGUAACGGCCCACCAAGGCGACGAUCAGUAGCCGGUCUGGGAGGAUGAACGGCCCCCCUGGAACUGAGACACGGUCCAGACUCCUACGGGAGGCAGCAGUGGGGAAUCUUCCGCAAUGGGCGAAAGCCUGACGGAGCAACGCCGCGUGAGUGAUGACGGCCUUCGGGUUGUAAAACUCUGUGAUCCGGGACGAAAAGGCAGAGUGCGAAGAACAAACUGCAUUGACGGUACCGGAAAAGCAAGCCACGGCUAACUACGUG